GAAAUGCGAUACGUAAUGUGAAUUGCAGAAUUCAGUGAAUCCUGCAUCAGUCUGCCUAAAAAACAGAUUAUUACCUUUGCUGCAGCUAACAUAAAGGAGAUGAGUUCUUGUGCUGACUGAUGCAGGAUUCACAGAGACAGCUUUGCGGCUGACUUUGUAAACUCGAUCUCAAAUCAAGUAAGACUACCCGCUGAACUUAA
rnacentral:misc_RNA from 1 species